UGGGGAAUAUUGCACAAUGGGCGCAAGCCUGAUGCAGCCAUGCCGCGUGUAUGAAGAAGGCCUUCGGGUUGUAAAGUACUUUCAGCGGGGAGGAAGGGAGUAAAGUUAAUACCUUUGCUCAUUGACGUUACCCGCAGAAGAAGCACCGGCUAACUCCGUGCCAGCAGCCGCGGUAAUACGGAGGGUGCAAGCGUUAAUCGGAAUUACUGGGCGUAAAGCGCACGCAGGCGGUUUGUUAAGUCAGAUGUGAAAUCCCCGGGCUCAACCUGGGAACUGCAGCUGAUACUGGCAAGGUUGAGUCUCGUAGAGGGGGGUAGAAAUCCAGGUGUAGCGGUGAAAUGCGUAGAGAUCUGGAGGAAUACCGGUGGCGAAGGCGGCCCCCUGGACGAAGACUGACGCUCAGGUGCGAAAGCGUGGGGAGCAAACAGG
rnacentral:rRNA from 1 species